UUAAAUUGAAGAGUUUGAUCAUGGCUCAGAUUGAACGCUGGCGGCAGGCCUAACACAUGCAAGUCGAACGGUAGCACAGAGAGCUUGCUCUCGGGUGACGAGUGGCGGACGGGUGAGUAAUGUCUGGGAAACUGCCUGAUGGAGGGGGAUAACUACUGGAAACGGUGGCUAAUACCGCAUAACGUCGCAAGACCAAAGAGGGGGACCUUCGGGCCUCUUGCCAUCAGAUGUGCCCAGAUGGGAUUAGCUUGUUGGUGAGGUAACGGCUCACCAAGGCGACGAUCCCUAGCUGGUCUGAGAGGAUGACCAGCCACACUGGAACUGAGACACGGUCCAGACUCCUACGGGAGGCAGCAGUGGGGAAUAUUGCACAAUGGGCGCAAGCCUGAUGCAGCCAUGCCGCGUGUAUGAAGAAGGCCUUCGGGUUGUAAAGUACUUUCAGCGGGGAGGAAGGUGUUGUGGUU
rnacentral:rRNA from 1 species